rnacentral:rRNA from 1 species
AGUGUAGGCGGCUGCGUAAGUCGGAUGUGAAAGCCCCGGGCUUAACCUGGGAAUUGCAUUCGAUACUGCGUAGCUAGAGUUUGGUAGAGGUAAGUGGAAUUCCGGGUGUAGCGGUGAAAUGCGUAGAUAUCCGGAGGAACAUCAGUGGCGAAGGCGGCUUACUGGACCAAAACUGACGCUGAGGCUCGAAAGCGUGGGGAGCAAACA